rnacentral:rRNA from 1 species
UACGUAGGGGGCGAGCGUUGUCCGGAUUUACUGGGCGUAAAGCGUCCGCAGGCGGCCCGCUAAGUCUGGUGUGAAAGCCCUCCGCUCAACGGGGGGAGGUCAUCGGAGACUGGCGGGCUGGAGGAUAGCAGAGGGGGACGGAAUUCCCGGAGUAGUGGUGAUAUGCGUAGAGACCGGGAGGAACACCGGCGGCGAAGGCGGUCCCCUGGGCUACUCCUGACGCUCAUGGACGAAAGCGUGGGGAGCGAAC